AGCCGGGGCCCAGCCGGGGCCGCAGAGCCGCAGGCUGCCAGAUGAAGGGUGAUCCUAGCCGGAGUCCCAGAGAGCUGCACCUGAUCGUCUGACUGUGUAAACUGGUGAGAUCCCAGGGCAGACAGUUCAAAAAAACCUGGAGAAGGUGAAGUCAACUUGUUUUCCCCAAAGCUGUUGGCAGGGGGCUGUGGAGCAUGGCAGCAAUGAGUGCUGGACCUGGGAGUGAGCUCUGCUACUGCCCCUCAGGGAAUCGCCCAAGAGCCGCGCCCUCCCCGGUUUGUGUGAACUGAUUUGCUGAGUAAUGCAAUCUCCUUUGGAAUGACAUUCCUGUUCUAGAUCAAGAACCAGACAUGCAUUCGUUAAAUGACUUCCCCGAGGUCACAUAGUAAGUGACUCAUUGGCAGAGGCAAGAAUUAACAUGGUAUCUUUAAAUUCCAGCUUCCUAGACCCAAUAGCCACUGAUUUCUAGGGCUCUUCUCUUUCCUGUCCCAGACUUUAUGCCCUUGCAUGCUGAAGAAUUUACCACACGUGCAAUUUCCAAGGUGGCAAUAUCUGACAACGGCCAAGAAAAUGAGAUGCCUGUUCUUUGCUGCAGACAUCUAGUGAUAUACAAAGAAGCUAAAGUUCUUCCUAUUGCUUAUCUUUUUGGAACGUUUUACCAUGUUAGGCCCAAGCUGAUGCAGUGCCAGGUCUCGUCUGUGCCCAUGCCUCCAAAACUGUACAUGCUCAAGGUGUUAAUCUGUCCUCUAAUGUUAUUUUCUGUUUUUCUAGAAACAUCUUUGCUGCAGUUUCCCUGAAAUGGGAACACUCUGUCCAUACCCAGUCUUGGUACAAUAAUCACUUGCAAAAAAACCCAGUGGGUGGGUUUUAUAAAUCCCAGUUCAGUGUUCAGCAAGGUAUAACAUCUGUUGUGAUCAAUAUUUUAGAACAAGCCUCUUUGAUUAAAAAGUUACAGUAAAGCCCUUUGCUUUGUACUGAAUAGCUAAAUAAUUCACAGGACUGGCUGUAAUCUCUCUAAGGUUCUUGCAUUUCGAAUUAAGAAGGAAAUUCAGGGUAAUUCUGUAGAGAGGUAGCACAGCCAGCUGGAUCUCUGCUGUACUGGCAAUUAAGUACUUUCCAUUUUAUAAUGGCUCCUGAGGUAUGCUGGACUCAAAUCCGGCAAAAAAAUUGGUCUCCUUUAUCAUCUGUUUCUGAUGAUAAUCUGGUGGGUAAAUGCCAGCAGUCAGGGCUGAAGAGUUUUUGGUUUGAUAAGUUCACAGAGAGGGACUGUCGGGUGCGCGGCCACAGAGAGCACCGCAGAUGGGGCAUCGGUGUGAGCAGCACCUGCUGCCACAGGGGCACAGCCCGGCACUGCCCGGCACGGCACGCACAGCCCCGGGACAGCCCCAGGACAGCCCCGGGAUAGCCCCGGGACAGCCCCGGGACAGCCCCAGGAUAGCCCCGGGACAGCCCCGGGACAGCCCCAGGACAGCCCCGGGACAGCCCCAGGACAGCCCCGGGACAGCGCCGGGAUAGCCCCGGGAUAGCCCCGGGAUAGCCCCGGGAUAGCCCCGGGAUAGCCCCGGGACAGCCCCGGGAUAGCCCCGGGAUAGCCCCGGGAUAGCCCCAGGACAGCCCCGGGAUAGCCCCGGGACAGCCCCAGGACAGCCCCGGGACAGCCCCGGGAUAGCCCCGGGACAGCCCCGGGACAGCCCCGGGAUAGCCCCGGGAUAGCCCCAGGACAGCCCCGGGAUAGCCCCGGGACAGCCCCGGGACAGCCCCGGGACAGCCCCGGGACAGCCCCGGGACAGCCCCGGGAUAGCCCCGGGACAGCCCCGGGACAGCCCCGGGACAGCCCCGGGAUAGCCCCGGGAUAGCCCCGGGACAGCCCCGGGACAGCCCCGGGACAGCCCCGGGAUAGCCCCGGGAUAGCCCCGGGACAGCCCCGGGACAGCCCCGGGAUAGCCCCGGGAUAGCCCCAGGACAGCCCCGGGAUAGCCCGGGAAUCCUCUCUGUGUGUGUGUUCUCCUUGAUUUCCAAGGAAAUCAAGCUGGCUGGGAAGUGCUCUCUUUUUUCCCUGAGAGAAUCUUGUCUGACCUUGAUGACUUCUUGAAAUUCCUCCUUUCUGGAAAGGAAUGAGAAUUUACCAAAUAACAAAUCAAACAAAAAAGGCCAUAAGAAGCCAGAUUUAAUUAUUUUUUUAAAGUUUCAGUGAAGAAGAAACAAUGCAAAAUAAAUUAAUGCAUGUGCCUUCUUUUUGUGGCAACAGCACUUUGUGGAUAUUCCUGCUUGUGCAUCUAUUCCCUCUAUUUUCAUCCUCCCUGGUCUCAUAAUUUUGUUUGGCCCUCAGUCUUACAGAGGGUUGGUCUUGUGCUGCUGAGGUAAUGAUGGAAAUUAGAAAUGUGCUUGUCAAAUCUGUGAGAAUAGGGACAAACUGGCCCUUGGACUUCAGCCUCAAGGAACAUCUCUGAGUUGGCCCAAAAUGCAAUGCAGUCCUGGGGCUCUAAAUAGGAGGUCAGCUCAGCUGUGCCAGGUGGACUACACCCUUGUGUUUUUUACUGGGAAUGUUUUGAAAUAUUUUCCUUAUAUUCUGCUUACUAGUAUUCAUACAAUUCUAUAAAUGAAAAUAAAGGAGGCUGGAGAUA